AUACAAUCCUGACACGGCUGUACGAAGCUUUGGCUCGUCCUCAGCUUAAAGCUUUUGGUUGGUGUGUGUGGCUUUCAGCUGUUUAGGGGUUGUUUUGUUUACGCAAGUCGUCCUCUAUCGUUCCUUUUCUAACCGACAGUGCCCUGCGCCUUUCGCCGUGCUCUAUCCAUCCCUGUCUCGCACCGCUCUGCUCUAUUGAUGCGCCGUUGUUGGCGCCCGCAGGAGUGUGUGUUUUGUUGUACCACAAGCGAGUUCGUCUUGGCCCCGAUUGUAGCAGAACACACGUCCAUGCUCCAGCGCCACCAGCCAUCCGCUGCAAAUAUGUGUACACAAAAUAAUAAAAUUGCAACACAUCAAAUAUUAAAAUUAAGUGGUUAAACAAACCGAGCAGUGGAUUUGCCUAACCUCACAGCCUUGCCACCAUGCACGGAUAAAUAAUUACAAGUGAAACAACGCAAAGGCGUCGACAUUCGAUUGAGGACAGACUGCGAGAUGCGAGGACGGUAAGAGAGUGCUCCGCCCUAUUUUGAGGCUUGUUGCAGGAGGCUUGACACACAAAGCGGAGUGUUCAGGGCAGAAGAGAGAGAGAGGG